rnacentral:rRNA from 1 species
AACGUAGGUUCCGAGCGUUAUCCGGAUUUACUGGGCGUAAAGCGCGUUCAGGCGGUUUGACAAGUCGGGCAUGAAAUCUCUCGGCUCAACCGGGAGAGGUUGUCCGAUACUGUCAGACUUGAGGGCAGUAGAGGGUGGUGGAAUUCCGGGUGUAGUGGUGAAAUGCGUAGAUAUCCGGAGGAACACCAGUGGCGAAGGCGGCUUCUUGGCCUGUUCUUGACGCUGAGGCGCGAAAGCUGGGGGAGCAAACGGG